AUUUCAUAGUGGACCUCAGAUUUAUCUUCGAGGGCAGACAACUGGAGGUGGGUCGUACACUUGGCUCUUAUGGCGUACUAAACGAAUCUACUAUUCAUGCAGUUCAACGUCUACGUGGUGGAGCUGUUCUCGAGAUGUGAGUCGUCCUCAAAGCUGAAAGCUGAAUCUGAUCGGGACCCAAAUGAACUGGAGGCAGACUUCUCGACUCCUCUCACUGGAAAAAUAAAGUGAAUAAGAACAGUGCAUCAUAUCAAUGUUAUGCUUAACACACAAUAUCACAAACC
rnacentral:lncRNA from 1 species